UGGGGAAUAUUGGACAAUGGGCGAAAGCCUGAUCCAGCCAUGCCGCGUGUGUGAAGAAGGUCUUCGGAUUGUAAAGCACUUUAGUUGGGAGGAAGGGCAGUAAGCGAAUACCUUGCUGUUUUGACGUUACCGACAGAAUAAGCACCGGCUAACUCUGUGCCAGCAGCCGCGGUAAUACAGAGGGUGCAAGCGUUAAUCGGAAUUACUGGGCGUAAAGCGCGCGUAGGUGGUUCGUUAAGUUGAAUGUGAAAGCCCCGGGCUCAACCUGGGAACUGCAUCCAAAACUGGCGAGCUAGAGUAGGGCAGAGGGUGGUGGAAUUUCCUGUGUAGCGGUGAAAUGCGUAGAUAUAGGAAGGAACACCAGUGGCGAAGGCGACCACCUGGGCUCAUACUGACACUGAGGUGCGAAAGCGUGGGGAGCAAACAGG
rnacentral:rRNA from 1 species